CAACCCUCGAGCCCCAGCGGCACGGUGUUGGGGAUCGGCCUCGCCCCUCGCGGCGGAGGGGCCGUCCCCCAAAUGGAGUGGCGGUCACGCCGCAGCAUCCCCUGCGCAGUAGUAACAUCUCGCACCGGAAUGCGGCGCGGCCACGCCGUGAAACCCCAACUCUUUCAAUGG
rnacentral:misc_RNA from 1 species